AUAACUGUGACGUUAGUCUUUUUGUUUACAGUAUUCGCCGUUUUAUUAAGUUAGCGUUCAGCAACUAAUACUAGUUAGCCUUUAAGUAGCCUGUUUUCGUUGCUUACACAACUGUAGCUAGAUGGACACCCGUUUCAGCAAACGUGGCAGGAAGGCUGAGGAUAAUGAAGCUAACCCCAAGCUGCUACACGCUGUGGAAGAGGACCUGGCACAAGAAUGUGAAGAGGUCCCUAUUUGUUGUGUUUUCUGUGGAGUUUUUAAUUCAUGACGUUUUGUUAUUUCGGAUUUACAUGUGUGAUCAAAUGUUUACCUGCCAGAGCUAUAUAUGUAAAUGCCAGUAUUAUAUGGAGAAACUUUGAGGUAGCAGGGCAAUAGUGUAGUGUCCCUUUAAGAGAGGAGUGUGCUGUGAGGUCACGUGACCAGUGUUUACUGAGUGAAAAGGAAGCGCGAUUCACUUAGUUGGUAACGACUUCCAACCCGGUGUGCAGCCACUUGGUUUUUUACCUGGUUCCCCUUUUAAGAAAUAAACAAACAAAUGAGGAAUCUUGAGUAAAGUCCUAUGUGUGCCGGGUUGCCCUUUCCGUGGGGAGAAAACGGAACACUAUUCAUCCAAAGAAAAAAAAGCUAAUCAAAUAUUCCCCGAGGAAAACAAUGUCUCCAACAGAGGCAUUGGAGUUGGCCAAACUGAAGGAACAAACCAAGAUGGACCGACAGAAGAUAGAACACUUUGAGGAGCGCAUUAAUUACCUGGAGGAGGCCAACAAGGACCUGAAAGCUGACAAGGACUUCCUACUUGCCAAAAUUAAGGAAGCUCCCGGCACACUUACAUCUUCUGGGAAAGGCAGAAAGACUGCUCCAGAGCCUUCUUCAUCUUCGACUUCAACAUCGACAUCUCCCUUCUCAGACUCCAGCUUCUUAUCAUCCUCAGAAGAAGAGAAGAAAAAGAAAAGGAAGAUGUCCAAGAAAAAGACCAUUAAGUCAAAAAAACACACUGAAUCAUACAGCCGUUAAAAGAAGUAAGCAGAGAUAUUGAUCAUCUUUAUAAUCACCUUUAUAACAAUCCUAAAGUUGACCGCUGCUUAAACUUUUAUGGAUUACAUUUAUAUGAAAAGCAACUACUUCCAUGGGCUUUGUUAAUAAUAAUUACAUGGGACUAAAGGUAAUGUUAUAUCGAUGUCUUGCUAAUGGUAUAUUUUAGUAAUCAUUCUGAAAAUCAGUGAUUGAGAUCUCUACAGCCUUGUAUAGCUCUCCUGAUCUCCUCAAGUUAUUCUAUGAUCUCCUCCAGUUUUGUUAUAUAUCUAACCUCUGAAAAAGAAAAAUAUAAGAAAACAAUUUUACUUACUGUA